GUGCUUGCUUCAGCAGCACAGACUACAAAAUUGGCAUAUACAGAGAUCAGUAUGGCCUGAGCAAGGAUGACAUGCAAAUUCAUGAAGCAUUCCCUAAUUUU
rnacentral:snRNA from 1 species